AAUGCAGGCGUGGCUGGUCCAGUAGUUCCAGUACCAAAGAAGCCGCUAUCUGGAAGAGUGGGACAACCCAUCCUAAACAUGGGAAGAAGAAACAGGAAAUUUCAAAAGAUACAACUACUAAUUAAAUGAAAGCACUCCUUAACCACCCCUUUGAUAAUUAGAUCAUCUUCUCCUAGAAUGAGAAGGAAUAUUAGUCUGACUUUGCCCUCCAUAUGGAGAAACAUGGCAGGCAGGCUCUCUGUGCCUGGAGGGUCUGGCCAGACUUUGUCUGGCAUGGGUAUUUUGACUCCAGCCUAUUUUUUAGGGAUCCUCCUGCAGCUGGUCCUCAAGAGGUCUGAACUUUGCCGUCUCAUUUCUAAAGCCUCUUUCAGCAGGUACUGGGGUUCCCAGGUCCAGGGAAGCCUGGUCAUUGCUAGAACACAUGGCAACAUCCUUCAGGAAACUCAGCUCAGACUGUCUGGAAAGAUGCUGGAAAGGCUGAAUCCAUGCAAGUAUUAUCUAACCAGCCCCAAGUCAUGUUUUCACACUUAGAUUUCUACAGGAUAUUCAUAAAUUCUGGAAACAAAGAUAUUGCCACUUUAUUUUAUUUUUACACAUUGAGAAGUUUCCUUGGCAACAUAACAUGUAUUUGCCUAUGUUUCCAAGGUUUAUGGAUGAAUGUGGGUGGUCAAUGGGAUUCAUUCAUUUUGCCAAGCAAACGAUAUGUUUGAAGCCAUAUUAAGUGCCAGGUACCAUAGAGGAUACAGAUGUUCAUAAUGUAAACUGCCCUCUAGCAGCUUACAGAUACUACCUAGGAAUAAUGCUUACACUGCAGUAAACAACAUAAGGCAGAAUAUAUAUAUAUGUCUUUGUACUCAUAACAAAAUGUAAAAGUCAAAGUCAGGGCUCUUUUAACUUUCUUAGUAGCAGAAACCCAAAUUGAACUUAAGCAGAAGGGGAAUUAUUUAUUUAAAACACAAAGAAAUUAUUUAUUGAAAGCAAACAGGAAAUUGAUUAUUGCUUCUUACAACUCAUGAGCUAAAAGACAGAGCUGGGUUCAGAUACAGAUAUAUCCAGAGUUGUGAUGCUAUCAGGACGCUGUCUGGUAAUGAAACCAACCACAGCACAGAGCCUGGAGUGGAGGGACAGACCAACUCUCUUCAGAUGCCACAUCCUCACCCAGCAGACCUCCUCCUCUCCAGCACCCAUUCAUCAAACCUUCGAGAAGACCCUGGUUGCUACUGCAAGGCUUUCAGCACCAAAUGGGAACCAACUCCUCCUCCUUGGACAUGGAAUACUUGAACUGGCCAUUCUGGGACAGGGGCCUGCCCAUGUGAAUGGAGGGAGGAAGAAGUGAAAUCCUUAAAGGGUUGCUGGGUCAGCAUAUCACAAAUUUCCCUUGCCGUGAGCCAGAUCUGAUGGGAUGGUAUUAGUCAAUAGGUAGAUAAUAGGGGGAAGAGGGGGUGAAGAAUGAGAUGGUUCUACAAAAAGAAAGGCAGGGUGCCAGAAGGUAGAAUUUGGGCAAUAGUGAGUCACAGAAUUGAUUGUGUCUUGGAGCCCAUGGAAGGGAGCUGAGGCACCUACGGUUGGAGGGGGAGGUGGGGACCCUUGGGCACAGCUAAAGAGUCUGCUUUUGGGUAGGAUGUACAGAGCAAUUAGAAUUAUUUAGCAGUGACUUAAAGCCAAGAGAACAAAUCUGGCUUCAGAGUGUUGACAUGGAAGAAAGGAAGAGGCAAAUGGAAGAGGCUAUUCCAAAGGGAGAAGGUCUGAGCUUGGUGGUGCCUGGGAAGGAAGGACACUGCAGCCAAGCUGAGCCUGUGUCCAGCUGAACACGGACAUUUACUUCUGCUUCUGAGGGGAAAUAUUGUCAUGUCUUAUGGGUGUACCCAGCAAAAGAUGUUUCCACUAAAAGACUAUAGAGAAUUGCUUAUUUCUAAGGACUGAAUUCCGAAUGUUUUUGGUCAGGUUCUCUCUGAACAGAGAACCAUUGCCCCUGAGCAGAAGCGGUCUUCACACAACUAGCAACCAUGUAGUGUUUUCUCAUUCAAAUGGCGUUUGGUAUUCACCUGCCUGUCCUGGAACAAAUGCAAAGUCAGGGUUGUUUCUAGCUCUCCCCCAAUAUUGGAAAAAUGCUGAUGAACUGAGCCUGGUUCCAUUUUACACCUGACAAAAGGAACUCAGAUGAGAGUGUUGGUAACUGGGUUUAAGGAGGAGUCAGAGGUGACUGCUGAAAUUUCUGCCAGACUACAACUAAAUUAAAAAAGGAAUUCGGUUUAAGAAGCCAAUCUUCAACUAAUUUGAACAUGAGGAUGCUCAACUUAGAAGCCUCCCAUGGGGCCCUGGAGCCCAGAAGGGACUGCAUACUCUUUGCUCCUGCAGGUAACUCAGGGCUUUGUUCUGGUGUCUCUGACAGGCUUCUAACCUUCUGCAAUUCUGUUGCCACAAUUUCUGUGGCACCAGGAGAAAAUUCAUGCAUCUAGGCUAGGGUGGUGCUCUCAUGUGUCUCCAGGAGAGUGUGGCCUGGGUUAGCUUAAGACUAGGAAUGUGCUGACAGCUGGGAAGAAAGUCAAAAGAAGGCAUGGCAUGUGGUUAUGGGGCCGGAGGGACCGCUUGGGGGGAGAGGUGGAAGCGCUGACAUGAGCUUGCUCUGCAUCGCUGGUUCCCAGAGGUGGCCUGAUAGGAGAGUGCCAGCUGGUGGUAUGCCGUGGGCUCUGGGGAAGGGGCUAGAAUGUUGUUGCAGCCCAGAGGGGCUGGGCUAGUGAGGAGCAAAAGAAAACAUAAGCUGGGGGGAAACUGCCUAAUAGACCAAUUAGGAGACAGGGUUGUGCCCUAAGGGAUGGGUGGGAGCAGGGGGUGCUAGAAGUAGACAGAGAGUAACUCUCAGCUCUGAACAGCGUCCCACAUAGGAGGAAGAACACUGAUGUGAGGCCAAGUGGCUUGGAAGGGCGUUGACACCCCAUUCCCUACAACAAAGGGUUUGGCAAACUCAUCUCAUUUGCUACUUGUCCUAUAGGUAAGGAUGGACACCAAACCCAAAGAGACUUUUGGGAUGUGGAUAAAAAUUGAAAACUUUGCCUCUCAUUAAUCCCUUGGAGAAUAUAGCAUCUCCUUCAAACUGGACUGCUCUCCUUGAUCCCUUGUCUUUACCUGAAAAUAUCUUUCAAGGCCUAGCUCAUGCUAUCUUGGCCAUAGGAACUUUCCUUAUCACCUCCAUCAAUGCUGUUUGUCCCUCCACUAGAAUCUUCUGUUUUGGUACUCCUCUUACUCAGCCUCAAGUUAAAUUUAUGUGUACUGGUUUUAACCCCAGUACCCAGUAAAGGUUCUGAAUACACGUGAUGAAAUAAGUCUCUCCUAUCCCAUGGCACCUAGUAUAGCAUUUAGUUGCUAUACUAAUUAUUAUAAUUAGCAUUUAUUACGGGCUUACUAUGUGCAAAGUGCCAUUAUUCCAUUUAUUAUUCACAAAAAUAUUUAGUCUCUACUAUUCUCUAAUUUAUUAGAUAACCUAAUAUAAAUCUUUUUUGUUUUGAUUGUUGCUAGCUGAUUGAAGGAAAUAGAAUUGUGGUGUGGUAGUAGGGGAUGUUGAGUGAGUCUUCCUCAUUCUUAAUAUUUCCUUCCACUAGGAUAACGCCCCUGGGCUCUCUUCAUCAGGGGAGGAGGAGUGACUUCAUCUGAUAGAUUCGGAAGGGAAAAUGUUACCCAGUCGCUUCUCAGUCCUCUUUCUCUUGGAGCGAGCCCAUCUCUGGAGCACAUACACUCUCCCCUGCUCCUGUAGGUCUCGAGUUCUCAGGGGAAGGGUUUGCCCUGUAAGAGAGCUUGUCCUUCUCCAGUGAGGCCUGUCACUGGGAAGAUAAUUCUGUACAGUGCUGGGAUUCAAAUUUAGAAAGCCCACUUGCCCCAUAAUUAAGCCACAUUCACCAGCUUUAACAAUGACAGAGGUGAUAUUGAGUUCUCCAGUGAUAUUGAGUUCUCCAUCUGCCUUAUGCUUUUCUGCUUAUUUCCCCAUUGGUUCAGAAUUCUGGUGGGAAAAGGGGUGCUGUUUGUGGGAUGCCUUCCCACCCUCAUGUGGCCCUCCAUAAGUUCUUCAUCCCUCAUUGCAUUCAAUAACUUGGGUGUGGUGUGGGUGGAGUGCAUGUGCCAUAUGACCCUCUCCCUUGAGUCUUUGAAACCUAUUUCUUACUUUAUGACUUUGGACUUCCUUUUCUUUGGGAGUAUAAAAGUGGAUACCACCAUUCCACCCCUUACCCGUCAUCAGGAGAAGUUAGUUGGGAAGCAAAGGCGGAGUGACGUGGAGGGAAGAGUCUAAAAACAGCUCUACACUUAGCUUUGUCCUUGCAUUGAUGACAAGCGAUGUUGGAUCCUGAAAGGUGGGGAUGGGAGGUAGGAAGACCCAGGAAGUUGCUGUGAAGGCUAAAUCCUAAAGACAGUCACUAAAAGUUUCCAGAAGGGGCAUCUAUCACUCCACAGGCAAGCAAGAUGAGACCAUGUUGAAAAGGUCUUAAAGAAGCCAGGGAAGAGGUGAAACAUCUCUCUGUGUGCUGAGGACCAUACCAGGUCCUUCAUUAUCAUAUUCUACACAUUGAAAAUGAAGGCCUGUGCUGAGAGUGAAAUGUGUUACUACACGUGCCUCACCUUCAUUUUCAACAGGACCUAUUGCCAUCUCACUUUGCCAGACUCCAUUAUGCAAGAGAGGCUUUGCCAGAAGCAAGGAUGCUGUAGAGGAAAGUAAUGAAAAUGUGAGGAUUUCUCAGAAGGCCACAUACAAUCUCUAGGUCUUUCCAGUACACACAGCUUCAAAAGCCAGGUGCUGUGUUCCCCAAGCAGGUCAGGGCAUUUCCAGGAGCCCUGGAUUCCAGAAGCUCAGGACACCUCAGUGGUAAAGAGACCCUAAUGCCGGUGACAGCACAGACCCUGGAAACCCUAGAUUGCCUCCGUGUGUUCCUCUUGGCCUCAGCAGGGCUGGUUUCCCCCUCCUGUAGGAGCAGAGGAGGCUCUCCUCUCUUGAGCCCAGGGCCUAGCAUAGUGACCAUAAGGAAGCAUAGAAGAUCCAGCUGCAGAUUUGGAAAACAGAGCCCUCAUCUCUGGAAGAGCCAAAACUGAUCCUCAACAUGUGCCAUGCACAUCAGAUAUCAAACGCUUCAUUCAUUUUGCCUUCGCUGGGUAACCAGUGACCUUGAGAAGUCACCUCUCUUGAGUCUCAAUUUCUUCAAGUUGGGAACAUUACAUGACAGGACAGGACUGUGAGGAUUAAAUGUAAACAACAUUUUUUUUUUUUCUAUAGAACAUACUGUGGGGCCAGCACCAUGCAAGGUGCUUUUAUCUACAAUUUAUUUCUUUCCCUUCCCAUGCCUUCUGCCUCUUUGAAUAACUGCUGCAAUGGCUGUAGAGAGAUAAAUGCAGUAGACCAAGACUUUUAGUGAUUUUUAAACAAUGUUCUAGGGCAAAUACAUGGGUAUGUUUACAUACUCCACAAAGUGAAAAAAUUAUGCUAGUCAGUGUGCAAAGUGUGUUUUUCCAGACCUGCAAAAACUGAGAUCAACUUCCAUAUUUCCAACUUCCAUAUUCCCUUCAUCCCUUAAGCUACCAGGCAGAGGAUGGGAGAUAAAAUUUGGCCAUAAACUUGUCAUGGGUCCAUCUUGGUCCUAAUUAGAAUUAUCUACUUCCUAAUCCAUUAACUGCAUGGAUAGAUAGUCUGAGGGCCUCAAGGGCAAGAGAUGACUUCUACCCCUCCACCCAUCCAGCCCUGACCCACCCUUCUCAUAUACAUUGGAGAAAGCUCUGCUCUGUGUAAAACACAUCAAGUGCAGGACAUGGUUCUUUUCUUCAACUAUCUACAGAAAUGAAUAGCGGCCCUAGAGAAAUGCAAAAGAUGCCUGCAAUCCAAGGCCAAAUUGGAGAACAUUUCAAGGAGAACUGGGCCUUUAUUGUAGAGUUUGGGAAAUGAGUAACAUGUAGAUCUGUGAAUAGAUAUGUCUGAGGAAGCACCAGGCAGCGGAAAUAGCUGGUUGCAGGAGCAGUUUGUCCUGCCCACCUGAAUCUUCAGGUUCCUUCAGCUAAGCCUUAGGAGAGGAGGCUGGAGAGCUGCUUUGCUGGAUCAUCUCCUUUGGCCCCCCUCAGACUAGAACUGCACCUCCUCUCUACCUAGCUCUGUGCUCCACAGGCUGCCUCUGGGCUGCACUGAUGGGCUCCCUUGACUGCUGGCUCCUGUUCAGGGUUGGAGGAGGAGGAUGAAGUCAUGGAAUAGUGUCCCCAUGCUGGGCUGCAGGUACAGUUGCUGCUUCUCUACUGAAGACCCCUGACAGCAACCCUGUCUUACAGCCAGGGUGUUUGUAGUUGCUCCCUCCUCCCUGUCCCUUUAGAGUGGUGAUGGCACUAUAUGUUAGAUAUGGUCAGAGCAGGAGACAUCAUUUUCCCUUAAUUCUAUUCUGCCUUGUAACCCCUUUCUUAGACUCUCUGCUGAGUCUCUGCUUAUGUGUUGGGAUUGCAUUGAUGCAGAUGCUUUAGGGCCACGUUGUGGAGGAUACAAGAUGAUGAGACAGGAGGCAGCGUAUGGUGAAUCACUUCUCACAGCUCCUAACUAAGUUCUGGGCACAUGAAUGGGUACUCAGCACAUACCUACUGACCAAGCCUAUGGAGAGCUGAAAACUCAUAGGCUGACUUUGAAGCGAGGCCUUUGAAACCAUCGUCCCAGGGGAAAUAAUCUAGGUCAAAGAGACGGCUGUGGCAAGGGUGCGAGCUGGCAAGCAUGAGGGCUGACAAAGCAGGCAGCACUCCUCCUGAGCAGAUGACCAGCCCCGCAGUGCUGGAUGGGUACGACUAUUCCAAACCCUGGUGUAAUUCUGUCCUCUAACGUGGCUGGUUUGACUCAGCACUGCUGGGGAGCCACAGAGCCUUCUUCUUUAGCAUUUAUGAGCUCAUUAUAAGCAUCCAAGAAAACAUCAACAAAGGGUGCUAAGUCCCUCUAGAACUGCCUUUUAAAUUUUUCUUUUGUAAAAAGAAUGAUGCUUUAAGUAAAACCACAACUUACAGAAUUCAGACAAAACCAGGCAGCCCCCAAUGUUGUUAUCCCAGCUCCUCUUGGAAUAAAUUUGGGAAUGAACAAAAAGUCACAGAAGAGAAAACUCCAGCCCACACCCACACCUUUUCUGACAUAGCCGCCUGUGCAGGUUUUUGGGACCAGGUCUGCCAUCUGUAUUCCCAGGCUGGGCUGGAGCACCUGAGGCUACUAUGGUUACAGAAAGGAACCUGGCAUCCGAAGGUAUAGGCUCAAAUCCCAGCUCUCAUGAUUGCUAGCUUUGAGGUUUCAGGUUCAUUUCUUAAGUGCUCUGAGCUUUGGUGCCCUCCUCUUCAAAAUGGGAAUGAGGAGCAUGUCUAGCUCCCUGUUUUGUUGCAGUGAAUAGCUACAUGAAGAACAGCUAAACCAGAACAGAAAGAAGGCAAAUGGAAGCUACAGAAACCAAGGAUUUCCUUGUUGAAUCGAAUCUUCCUUCAAUCUUCCUUCACCACACUAGUGGAUCUCCCUGUGGGAGGGAUGUUGAGAGUGCUCCGUGUUUUUUUUGUUUUUUUUUUUUUUUUUUUUGUGAUGGAGUCUCACUCUGUCACCCAGACUGGAAUGCAGUGGUGCGAUCUCGGCUCACUGCAACCUCUGCCUCCCAGGUUCAAGUGAUUCUCCUGCCUCAGCUUCCCAAGUAGCCAGGACUACAGGCAUAUGCCAUCACACCCAGCUAAUUUUUGUAUUUUUAGUAGAGACGGGGUUUCACCAUGUUGGCCAGGAUGGUCUCGAUUUCUUGACCUUGUGAUCUGCGCACCUCUGCCUCCCAAAGUGCUGGGAUUACAGGUGUUAGCCACCACACCAGCCUUCUCUGUGUGUUUUUAAUCAAUAGCAAUAUGUACCAUAUUUAGUAGGGACUAUAAAGAAAUUGUGCUAGAAACACCUGGUUAUUUUACAGAACUUUGCCAGUGAGUACAAAAAUAUGCGUAGCCCACAACCUCUCUCCCCUAGAAAAUACCUCCUGUGGGUAGAAUGAAAUGGGUAGGUGUUCUUACCAUUCAUUAGCAUUUCAACCUGGCUAUCUUCUUCCUAGAAUUCCACUACUCCCAAUUGCCCAUGUGUUUCCAAUAAAACCAAUUCAAUUGUGUACCAACUUGGUGACAAAACCUUUAUGUAGUUCUUCUAUCAUUUUGUGGGGUUUUCAAAGAGGGUUGCUCUUUGAUAUGGUUUGAUGCUGUGUCCCCACCCAAAUCUCAUCUCUAAUUGUAA